CUGUAAAGCCCGUGAAGACAAACCAAAGAAGGGGGGAUAUGCUGUAAAGCCCAUGAAGACAGAUCAAGUGAAGACAAACCAAAGAAGGGGGGAUAUGCUGUAAAGCCCGUGAAGACAAACCAAAGCAGGGGGGAUAUGCUGUAAAGCCCGUGAAGACAGAUCAAGUGAAGACAGACCAAAGAAGGGGGAUAUGCUGUAAAGCCCGUGAAGACAAACCAAAGAAGGGGGCUACGCUGUAAAGCCUGUGAAGACAGAUCAACUGAAGACAGACCAAAGAAGGGGGAAUAUACUGUAAAGCCCCUGAAGACAAAUCAAGUGAAGACAAACCAAAGAAGGGGGGAUAUGCUGUAAAGCCCAUGAAGACAGAUCAAGUGAAGACAAACCAAAGAAGGGGGGAUAUGCUGUAAAGCCCAUGAAGACAAAUCAAGUGAAGACAAACCAAAGAAGGGGGGAUAUGCUGUAAAGCCCAUGAAGACAGAUCAAGUGAAGACAAACCAAAGAAGGGGGGAUAUGCUGUAAAGCCCGUGAAGACAAACCAAAGCAGGGGGGAUAUGCUGUAAAGCCCGUGAAGACAAACCAAAGAAGGGGGGAUAUGCUGUAAAGCCCGUGAAGACAGAUCAAGUGAAGACAAACCAAAGAAGGGGGGAUAUGCUGUAAAGCCCAUGAAGACAGAUCAAGUGAAGACAGACCAAAGAAGGGGGGAUAUACUGUAAAGCCCGUGAAGACACACCCAACAAUACUACAGGCUCCUGGAUCUCCUCUUCAACAAGGUCACCCUUGAUCCAGUGCCGUAUGUGGGGAAGAUGCGCGAGCUGUCCAUCCCAGAACCCGUCUGCCCAGUGUGAGAGGCCUGACAAGGAGAAGGCCAUACCUGGUUUUGUCUCCAGCUUCAAUCUUCGGGGUGACUGAAGACAAGUGGGUGACUGAAGUCUGCUUGAUUGAAGCGGGGUACAUGGGUCCCCCUUCUCUCCCGAUCCCGUCCCAUCAAUCUCUGUAGUUGGUUGCAUUUCCCAAAGUCUAAGUAAUUUAUAUGAUAUCACAUUUUCUUUUAUAUAAUUUUUUCUAACAUUUGGACGGGAGAUGAGAGUUACAAAUUGUAAGAAUCAAUGGGGUCCUGUACACUGUAGGGCAGCCGGUUGCCUAUAUUGCGGCUUAUGGCUCUAUUUUUAUUUUUUUAUGUCAAAUGAUGUCUCACCAUUAUUUCUCAUGAAUGUCCAUGUUGAUCAAUAUUUCAGAUAUGCUUGCCUAAUGUAAAUUAACAAAUAAAUGUUUGAUCAAUACAUACAA